rfam:Tstilago hordei, Th4857-4, WGS project CAGI01000000 data, contig: THOR_scaffold_5.00030
GCAGCCUUAGUAUAGUGGUUAGUACAGCUCGUUGUGGAGAAGAUUUCUUGCUUUGAUUAACCGAGCAGACGGAUGUUCGAUUCCUCCAGGCUGCA